ACACAGUGGUUAACUCUGAAGAUGAGCUUCCCUGGACUUAGUAAAGCAAAAUGACUGUGACCAACUCAAAAUCCACCAUUAAACUCUUCCAGCACCUGCUCUUCUGCUUUCUACCCCAAGCUCUUUGCCUCUGUGUUUCCAUCGUAAAUCUGGAAAGAAUUCGAAGACUCUGUGUUAAAGUGAUUUGCUAAAUAUUAUCAGAAAGAACUACAGAAAGAUGCAGAGAGGAUGGCAGCGGGACCGAAUCCUUUGAACGUGGUUUAAGACUCUGCUGAGACUGACGCUAAGAAUAAGCCCUGAGAUGUCAGAACCCCCAGGCAAAGCAGCUGGCAGAUGACAACACCCGCUGAAACAGAGGGCAGAGCAAGAAUUCUGCAGGCCAAGCACUGCCGCAGGCUGGGAGAAGGGAGUGGAAACCGAAUAUUCCUCCUGCAUAAAAUUGCUUAUUUUUGUUUGUUCCUCAGCGCAGCUGAGAUCUUGGAGAUGUAGCAACAGGAAAUGGAAAGAAAGCAAAAACAAACUGCAAAUUCAAUUGCACUGCUUUUUUAAAAAAGAACAAGUGAGACAUCUUCAGCAGCAAGAAAACCUUGUUUCCUUUCUUGGAGGGCUUAACUAAAUUCUUCUGGGGAUGUCCCAGGAUCAACAACCACAGGACAUUCCUAGAUUGUGAGUUUUCCAUGUACAGGAGGCCCUGGUGCCUUCGUGCCCAUCAGCAGCAAGGGAGACUUCCCAGGGAGGCCCGGUGAAGUUGCUGGAGGUGGCUGAUGAUUUCUAGGGCCUCGAGGAAUGUCCCUUGGCUGUCCUCAGGGCACACCACUGAUCCUGGGACCAUGGCAGCUUCGGAGAGCUGAGCGGAGCUGCUGCAAAAUGCUUUCUGCUUUAAUUACCUCUCAUUCAUUUCUGGGCCCUGAGAAGGAUGCAGUAGCCCGGGAAGUGUCAGCUCUCCCUGCCAGGGGUGGGACUUCUUUCUCAUGUCUGCCUCUUGGCUGUUCUCAAACUGUGGCUUCAGGAGGGCCUUGGCUCUUGGCAAAUGCCAGAGGCUUUACAGUUUGAGAAAGAAUCAGAAUUUUGAAGAGGAGCUCAGAGAGGAAGGUCAUUCUAGGAUGCACUUUGCAGAAUAACCAGGCAGUGAAAAGGUGAAAUUGGCUGUGUAUGACACAGGCCACUGCAGGGAAUGUGCCCCUCUACUAUGGGAAAUUGGUUCUGAAAUCCAGAGAAUCUCUUAGGACCUUUAAAAUCACCGUUGUCAACACACUUGUCAGAUUUUUGCAUCUGCUCGUUUCAAACGGGUUCAGAAUGAGGUCGGGGACAGGGGUGUGAUUGAUCACCGUCCUGCUCCACUUCAGAUAUGUUGGUGAGAACACUGGGGACCACUCUUCAUGGCGCUCCUACUGUGUGCAGCACCCUGUUCUCAGCAGUUUAAACCAGGGCCAUCUUCCUCCUCAUCAACACCUUUCCUCUCCCACUCAGCAAUCUCAGCGUCUCAGCCCCUAGAGUGCAGCUAGUGUGCAUACCCUAGUGUUCACCCUACAGGAUGGUUCUCUUUGGAAGACUUAAACCACCACCCCCAAGCUAAAUUAGGCCCCCUCCACUGCUAUAGUCUUCUUCCCUUUUCUAAAAUAGCAUUUGUCACAAUAGGGCAUGAUGAUGUGUCUGCCUAUUUGGUUAAUGCUUGCCUUUCUCCCUCAACUGUUCACCCCAUGAAAACAGGACCGUGUCUUUUUUUUUUCUUUUUCUUUUUUGAGACAGAGUUUCACUCUUCUCACCCAAGGUGGAGUGCAUUGGUGAGAUCUCAGCUGACUGCCAACUCUGCCUACCAGGUUCAAGUGAUUCUUCUUGUCACAGCCUCCCAAGUAGCUGGGAUUACAGGCAUGCGAUACCAUACCCAGAUAAUUUUGUAUUAUAAGUAGAGACG
rnacentral:lncRNA from 10 species